GGUUCUAAAAUAAAUUUAUAGUAAAAAUGUAAUAGAACUAAAAGGACGCGGUAACCUUGACCGUGAUAAUGUAGCAUAAUCACUCGCCAUUUAAUUGGUGGAUAGUAUGAAUGGUUGAACGAAUAUUCCACUGUCUUAAAGAGAAUUAAAAGAAAUUGAAAUAAUAGUUAAGAUGCUAUUUUAAACUGUAAGACGAAAAGACCCUAUAGAGCUUAACUAUAAUCUCUAUAUUAAUAAUAAAUUCUUAUUUAUAAAGUAUAGAGGCUGGUAGUUUAGUUGGGGCGACUAUCUUUUAAAUUAAACAAAGAUAAGCAAUAUUAAUAGUUAAUUUAUUGUAUAAUUAAUUUAUUUAACAAUUAUGAAAAUAGGCUAUAAUGACCCGUUAGUACUUAAUAAAAAGAUUAACGAUCAAUUGAUAAAAGCUACCUUAGGGAUAACAGGAUAAUUUCAUUUUAGAGCUCCUAUCGAAAAUGAAGUUUGUCACCUCUAUGUUGAAUUAA
rnacentral:rRNA from 1 species